CUUGGUGAAACCGUAGGAAAUUUUUUAAUUUUCUGCAACGUUCCCCAACACCUACAUCAUGACUAAAGUCUUUUAUCAUCACCAAAAGAUCAUAGACUGACUGAAGAAACAGAAGGAAGCAGGCUAGAAUGCAGUGAAAGCAGUUAUUUCAUCGCAGCAACAGACUCGUCCUGAAGUAGAUUAGCGUCACCCCAGGAUUCUCCCAGUCUUCAGGUGCCACCCAUGAGCUGCUUUGAACACUUCUUCCGCCACCUCGCUUACUUGCUUCACUCCAGCCUCCAUCAUCUUACUUCUUGCGGUAUUUGUCUACAAAACAUUCCAAUAAAUUUUUGAGAAACAGGUUAACAGGUACACAAGGGUCAUUCACCCUGUUGUUAUCAAAAAUAAUGUUGUUCCUUAGCUUCCAAAUAGUCCAGCAGAUCGGUGAAAUGCCUACCAUGACCAAACCUUUUUCAUCUUUUCCAAAUGUCUUUAGCCAUGUUUUCAUUAUUGCAUCCAGGGUUUCUGGAAUGUUUUUCAAAUUGAAAGCACAUUUCAAAAUGUUCCACAACAAUCUAGCAACUGAAUAGGAUAGAAAAAGAUGAUUGAUAUUUUCUUUACGUCCACAGAAAGGACAUCUAUCAUCCCCUUUCCACCCUCUACGGAGCAGAUUGUCCUUGGUAAGUAUACUGUUCCUAAGAGCCAACUACGUGAACACCUUGAUUUUGGGUGGCAUUUUAAUCUUCCACAUGUACAGGUGUGGAUAUUUGACACCAUUUUCAAUCAAAUGUCUGUAAAAGGAUUUUAUAGUGUAUACUCCUUUUUUGGUCAAAGACCAUUUUACCUCGUCUUUAUCCUCAUUUAGAGUCACCGAACUACAAGCUUCUUUAAUAUGUUCCCAGAGCUAUCUAGCAUCUCCUAUCGGAGUUCUUCUAAAAUGCACAUUACCUAAACUAUUUUCAAACACCUCCUUAACUGUUUUCUUUUUAUCAAAACAAAGCUCAUAUAGUCUAGGGAAGUUUUUACUUAGUGGGGCAGAGCCAAUCCACCAGUCUUCCCAAAAGCAUGUUCUAUCUCCAUUUCCAAUUCUAAACUUGCACAAAGAGGUAAAAUGAUCUCUAUGUUUCAGUACCUCCCUCCAAAACUGGGAAUCUCCCUGUUUGUCUAGUACAAUACCCAGAUUCUUAUUCUUAACAUAUUUUUUCCAAAUAAUAUCUUGCCGCAAACCCUCAGUUGUGUAUAAUUUCCACCACCAUUUACAUAGCAAUGCUUUGUUCAUAUACAUAAAAUUUUGAAUUCCCAAACCCCCCAUAUCUUUUGGGUUGCACACCUCAAACCAUUUUACUAAAUGAUAUUUCUUUUUUUGGUCAUUCUCCUGCCAUAGAAGUCUGGCUCUAAAGAAAUCCAUGCGUUUUUCUACCCCAAUGGGGAGCCCAUAAAAGGACAUCAUAAAGUAGGGUAUGCCCGUCAAAGACAACUGAAUCAGCGUAACCCUCACUGCACUGGCAAGCAGUCUGCCUUGCCAUGUUUCACACUUUCUCUCCAUCUUAUUCUCCGGAGGUUUCCAAUGUUUAUUACAAAUUCUAUUUUUAUCUAUAGGCAGUCCUAAAUAUUUCAUUGGCAAGGCACCCACUGGACAUGUGAAAAUUCUUGCAUAUUCAUCUUUCUUAUCAAUGGCUUCUCCAAACAGGAAAAGCUCACUUUUAUGAAAAUUAAUCUUCAACACAGACAUUUGCUCAAACAAGCACAGGAUGUAUUUCAGAUUAUGUGCACUUUCUACAUCAUCUUAUAAUAAAAAUAUGGUAUCAUCUGCAUAUUGUAGCAUAUUAACCCCAUUUGGAAUAUAUCCAUUUAAAACCCCUUUCACCAACCCACUUUCUCUGGCAUUAUCUAACAUGAUUGCCAGGGCAUCAGCAGCCAGAUCAAAGUUCAGAGGGGAUAGGGAAUCUCCCUGCCUUAAUCCCUUAUGAGUAGGCAAAUAUUUCCCUAGGUUCUCAUUAACCUUGACACAUACUCCCCCCUCUAAUAGUCUCCAUAACCCAAUCAAUCCAUUUGUCUGGAAACCCUUUCGUUUUCAACAUUUGAAAGAGGAAGGACCAUUUGAUUUUGUCAUAUGCCUUUUCAAAAUCAAUUUUCAAAAGCAGAGCACUUUCCUUUUUCCUUUUUAUGUUGUUCAAAGCCUCAUGAAGAAUCAAAACCCCUUCCAUAAUAUAUCUGCCUUUAACAAAAGCAGUCUGAACAGGAGAAAUAACAUCAGCAGCUACCAAGUUUAACCUGUUCAUUAACACUUUUGUAAUAAUUUUGAAGCAGACAUUCAGCAAGCAAAUUGGCCUGAAUUUUUGUAUUUGAUUAGCUUCUUUUCCUUUUGGGACUAGAGUUAUAAUCCCAUAGCUUAAUCUACUAAUAUCAAUUUUCCUAUUAGCAAAGUCAUCCAGCAAAGCUUUUAGGUCAUGUUUCACCAGUUCCUAGUAGUGCUGAUAAAAUUCAGCAGUGAAGCCAUCUGGUCCAGGUGAUUUAUUGUGUGCCAUUUUAAAAACAACAUUCUUGAUUUCCUCCAAAGAAAAUUCUUCAAUCAGAAUUUUUUCAUAUCUCUCCUGGAUCCUAGUGGGGUUAUCAAUAUUUAAUGAGAUAGAGGAAUUAUUAGGCGGGCCAAACAAGUUUUUGUAGAAAGUGGUAAUAUAAUCUAUCAGAUUUUUAUCCCCUUCUAUCACCCCCCUCAUCCUGUUCUAAUCUGUUAAUUCUGUUUCUUCUAAGUCUCCCAUUUGCCUUGGCAUGGAAGAAUUUAGUGUUGCUGUCCCCUUCUAGAAUCUCAUCAAUUUGGCUCUCUGCCUCCAUUUAGUCUCCUCCUGUUUACGGAGUCUAUCAAGCCGGGCUCUCAAUUCUAUCUGCUCUUUUCUAUUAGCAGAUGUAAGGCCAUUAAUCUCACAGUUUUUAUCAAUAAUAUCCAAUUUCAGUAGGAUAUCUUUUUAAAAUUCAAUAUACUAGGCAUUCAUAUUUCUAUUCCACCCUUUAAGUUUAGGUCUUAGAUUUCGAAACUUCCCCAACAAUCUAUCUAUGCUGUCUCCUUUAAUGUUAGGAUCAUUUUAGACUUUCUGUACAAUUUCAUCAAUUCCUUCUCUCGGAAACCAGGCAUUUUCAAAUCUGAAAAUUGGAUCAGAUUUUUGGAAAUCUCCAGAAUCCAAGAAAAGAGGAGUGUGGUCAGACUUCUCUCUAGUCAAAGCUGUCACUUGGGUUAAGGGAUAUGCCUCUUCCCAUUCUGUGCUACAAAGGAUUCUAUCUAGCUUUUCAAAAGUAGGAAUGUGCAUAAUAUUCCCCCAAGUGAAUUGUCUCCCGUUCAUGUUAAGCUCUCUCACCCCAGCUUGUUCCAGGAUGGCAUUAAAUAGAAAACUCCAAUGCCUAGGGGACCCUGGUUUGUUUUUCUCACUAGCCUUUCUAAUAAUAUUAAAAUCACCUCCAAUCAAAAUUGGAUUAACACAAUUCUAGAUGACUCUGGACAACUCAGCAAGAAAUAAAGCUUUCCUUUCUGGUUGUGCAUCUCCAUAUAUCACCACUAGGUCCUAAAUUAACCUAUUUUUAACAUCCUGGACUGUCAUUUUUAUAUGGUAGUCACCUUCAUCCUGUGAAAUCACAUCUAAGGUGGUAUAAUUAACCCCUAACAGAAGACCACCAGAUUUCCCCCUAGCUGGAGUGAAAUGCCAGUGAAAAUCCCUUCCUACACAAAUUUGUUGUAGAUCAUUUCUAGAAAACUGUUGUCUCAUGGUCUCUUGUAAGCCCAAGAUAUCCACUCUCAUGUCCAUAAUCAUUUCCCCGAGGAAUCUUUUUUUGAUGUCUCCCCCAAAUCCUCUCAUGUUCCAAAAAAUCCCCCUCAUCUUUUUUUCUUGUUUUUCCUACCAGAAGAUUCUAGGUUUUUGAUAGCAGAGGCAAUUUUAACUCCAGAAUCUCUGGUAGUUUUACCACUUUUUUUUCUCUUUUUUUGAUGAGAAAAGCUCUUUUAGGAGUUCCCACUCUUCAUUUACUUCCUCUUCUCUCUCAUUUUCCCCACUAUCUAAUAAAUCUUCUAGAGAAUGUUCUCCAGUAUCAAUGAUAUUAUGCUCCUCAGGCAGAGAGGUUUGUUUUUGAUUGUUACUAUAAUCUACUAGCCACAUAUCAAUCCUUGCCUGUUCAGUCAUUUUUAUUAACUCCAAAUUAUGGUUGAUAAUGUCAGGCUUUUUUCCCAAAUUAACUCCAACCCCCUUAGCAAUCUGUUGUAGAAUAUUAUUGGAUCUAGAGAUAAUAUCAAAGGGUGUGUACUCACCAUAGUUGUUUUUCUGGGCCACUCUUUCUUUAGCCAGUUUAGUGAUCUUUUUGUCUUCCUUGCCUUCCAGUCUAGUGCAUCUUCUCAGUUCUUCUUCCUCUUGGGAUUCCAGUUCCCCUAUCCCAGCCUUCUUAAUCUUUGUUUCAAAGGAUUCAGUCUCCUGACUAGCAGUAUAAUCCACAGGCUCCAUAUAGCCCAUCCCCACAGCCUGCUCAAUCAACUCCAAGUCUGUCAUCCCCUCCCCCUCUUCCUGUUUGUCUUCUG
rnacentral:lncRNA from 1 species